AGAGUUUGAUCCUGGCUCAGGAUGAACGCUGGCGGCGUGCUUAACACAUGCAAGUCGAACGGAGGGUUGAUUUCGGUUGACCUUCAGUGGCGCACGGGUGAGUAACACGUAGCUGACCUGCCCUUUAGAGUGGGAUAACGGAUCGAAAGAUUUGCUAAUACCGCAUAAGCUCACGCACUUUAGAGGUGUGAGAGAAAAGGCGAAAGCCGCUAGAGGAGGGGGCUGCGGUCCAUCAGCUAGUUGGUGGGGUAACGGCCUACCAAGGCGACGACGGAUAGGGGGCCUGAGAGGGUGGUCCCCCACACUGGGACUGAGACACGGCCCAGACUCCUACGGGAGGCAGCAGUGAGGAAUAUUGCGCAAUGGGCGAAAGCCUGACGCAGCGACGCCGCGUGGGUGACGAAGGCCUUCGGGUCGUAAAGCCCUUUUCUGCGUGACGAGAGAGGACGGUAGCGCAGAACA
rnacentral:rRNA from 1 species